rnacentral:rRNA from 1 species
GUUCGUUGUGCACAUCAAUGUGUCUUGAAAAUUAAAUCUUACUAAUUUGAUUAAAGAGUGUUACGUAUAUUUAAAAAGUAAUAAAAGGAUUUUAAAAUGUUAUUAUUUUAGUAGAAUGAAUCGAAAAAUAUAUAAAAGAGUUAUAGAACAGAGUACUGUAAAGGAAAGAUGAAAUAAAUUGAAAAUCCAAUUGAUAAAAAGUAGAAUUAAAUAUUUGUACCUCGUGUAUUAGGGAAAAUUAAAAUGAUCUUGUUAAAUUAAGCAUUCCCGAAAAAGAAAGAGCUAAUGUAGAUAGAUAGUUUUCAUAUUAAUGAAAUUAUAAAAUCUACAUUAGUAGUGAAAUGCUAGCCGAUUUCUCAUAUCUGGUUGUUAGAGAAUUAAAUUGAAUUUAGUUAUUUUGAGGUAGAUAAAGCUUUGAAAUAAAAAAGAGUGGGAGGGAAAAGCUUCUUAUUCUAGUAAUAGGUAAAUUAUAAUAAAAAAAGUUAAAAUAUUAUUGAAUUAGGCUUAAAAA